AUACGUAGGUGGCAAGCGUUGUCCGGAUUUACUGGGCGUAAAGGAUGCGUAGGUGGAUAUUUAAGUGGGAUGUGAAAUACCCGGGCUUAACUUGGGUGCUGCAUUCCAAACUGGAUAUCUAGAGUGCAGGAGAGGAAAGUGGAAUUCCUAGUGUAGCAGUGAAAUGCGUAGAUAUUAGGAGGAACACCAGUGGCGAAGGCGACUUUCUGGACUGUAACUGACACUGAGGCAUGAAAGCGGUGGGGAGC
rnacentral:rRNA from 1 species